GACGAACGCUGGCGGCGUGCUUAACACAUGCAAGUCGAACGGUGAAAGAAGAGCUUGCUCUUCUGGAUCAGUGGCGAACGGGUGAGUAACACGUGAGUAACCUGUCCCAGACUCUGGAAUAAGCGCUUGAAACGGCGUCUAUUACCGGAUACGAUACAGCGCCGAAUGGCUACCCUCCGGUAAGUUUUUCGGUCUGGGAUGGACUCGCGGCCGAUCAGCUUGUUGGUGAGGUAACGGCUCACCAAGGCAACGACGGGUAGCCGGCCUGAGAGGGCCACCGGCCACACUGGGCCUGGGCCGCGGCCCAGACUCCUACGGGAGGCAGAAGUGGGGAAUAUUGCACAAUGGGCGGAAGCCUGAUGCAGCGACGCCGCGUGGGGGAUGACGGCCUUCGGGUUGUAAACCUCUUUCAGCAGGGAAGAAGCGAAAGUGACGGUACCUGCAGAAGAAGCCCCGGCUAACUACGUG
rnacentral:rRNA from 1 species